rnacentral:lncRNA from 1 species
AUGGCUCUCUUACUCUUUUGUCCCUUUACAUCUCACUUCUCUCACUUCUCUCUCCUCUUCCCCUUCUCUUUGUCUUCUUCUUUUCUCUCCUCUCUCCCUCUUUCUCUCUCUUUCUCUCUAGCCUUCCCCCCUCUCUUUCUACCCUCUCUUUCUCCCUGCAUUUCUAUAAUAAAGCUCUUAAACCAUAGAGAGUCUCUGCUCCAUCAAGACCCUCUGCGCACUCUGGGCCCCUCUUAUUUUGUUCCCAACAACUAGUAGCAGAACGAUGGUUACUCCAUCCACGCGAGACAGAACCAGCUGAAGAAUGCUUCGCACAGAGACCUACAGGAGAUCUCCAAGUUUCCUGAGACCGGGACCUGCUGCCACAGCUCCACCUGAGACAGCGCCAUCUACAGGGACCUACAAACAAAGCUGCCUUCCUCCAAAAAUCUCAUCUGGCUGAAGCUCCCGAGAGAAAUGCUCCACAGAAGACAGACCUGGGACCUUCCAGCUACAGAUGUACUCUUUUGCUAAAGCCAAAUGGCUGUUGAACUUUGGGGAAAGUUAUAUGAUAGUGAGAAAAGCAUAAUGUCUAUCUGGAUUAAUUAACUGCUGUUCAAAAAUGGAUGUUAUUACCCUCAAAUUGUACUACCCAUGAAACAAUUAAUUGUACAGUCUUUGCCUUCUCAACUCAAUCUCUUGCCUUUUCAACUCAAUCUCCUGCCUUCUUAACUCUAACCCUUAACUUUCCUUACUACUCUGGCUUUGUUCUGCUACUUCUGUAGGCUAUAUAUUUUUUCUGAUAAUUCCAUUCCAUUAUAAAUUUUCACAAUUAAUGACACAGUCACAUCAGUGACUCCCCCCCCCCCAGUUUUCUUUCUAAUAAAAAAGAGGGGGAAAUGUGGGGAAUUGCAGGCUGGUCUCCAGUUGAGCUGAGGUCUGAACCCCGAUGGCCAUAAUUCACCUACAUGACACAAUAGGUGUUCCCUCAUGCUCCUGGAAUUCUGGCCCCUGCCUAAGGCACCACCUCCCACAGCCCCCACAAGAGAAGCAUGGUCAGUAGUCAUGUAAGCAAUGGCCCAAGCUUCUGACCUUCAGCCUAAACUCCUCCCCAGUUACCUAGCAACAGUAAAGUCCAUAAAAAGGGCUGUUCAGCCCCCACAUAGCUCUCUUACUCCUUUGUCCCUUUACAUCUCACUUCUCUCACCUCUUCCCUUUCUCUAUUUCUUUUUCUUUCCUCUCCUCUCUCCCUCUUUCUCUCUCCCUCUUUCUCUCCAGGGUCCCCAGUCAGGGGCUGCCCCUUUUCCACCCUCCCUCCCCCCCGCUGUGUAGGUCAGGCAUGUUCACCUGGGGCCCAGUGGAAAAGUGUCCAGCAGCUCUGCCUGAGUCCUCCUGCCCAGAGCACAGGAGCUCUGGCUGGACGUUUGGCCCCUUUUCCUUCCCCUUCUUCCCCAGGGCCUCCCUAGGGCGCCCCCCUUAUUUUGUUCCAAACAAUCCUACUCUAGCAACUAAACAACACACCUGAAAGCCCUAGAACAAAAAGAAGCACACCCAGUAGGAGUAGAUGGCAGGAAAUUGUCAAAUUCAGGGUUGAAAUCAACAAAAUAGAAACAAAGAGAACAAUACAAAGAAUCUGCAAAACCAAAAGUUGGUUCUUUGAGAAAAUCAACAAGACAGAUAAACCCCUAGCAAAACUAACUAAAGGGCACAGAGACAGUAUCCAAAUUAAUAAAAUCAGAAAUGAAAAGGGAAACAUAACAGAAACAGAAAAUUCAGGACUCUAAGUGAGGGACCUUAGAUGAAAUGCCCAAUAGUGGGGGGAGUGAACUUGUAGAGUUCACCCCCAGUGAAAAGGCCUCAGGGAGUGGGGAGGCCUGGUGGGGUGGUAGAGGGGUAGGGACAUACCCUUGGAGACAGGGGGAGGAGGAAUUGGAUGAGGAACUGUGGGAGGGCAGAGUGGGAGGAGGGUUACCACUGUACUGUAAAAAAUAAAAGUAAUAAAAAGAAAGGCCCAAACAAAACAAAUGAACAAAUUUUAAAUAAAAU